rnacentral:Y_RNA from 1 species
GGUUGGUCCGAGUGCAGUGGUGUUUACAACUAAUUGAUCACAGCCAGUUACAGAUUCCUUUGUUCCUUCUCCACUCCUACUGCUUCACUUGACCAGACUUUA